UACGAAGGGGGCUAGCGUUGCUCGGAAUUACUGGGCGUAAAGCGCACGUAGGCGGUCUUUAAGUCGGGGUGAAAUCCUGGAGCUCAACUCCAGAACUGCCUUCGAUACUGGAAGACUUGAGUCCGGGAGAGGUGAGUGGAACUGCGAGUGUAGAGGUGAAAUUCGUAGAUAUUCGCAAGAACACCAGUGGCGAAGGCGGCUCACUGGCCCGGUACUGACGCUGAGGUGCGAAAGCGUGGGGAGCAAACAGGG
rnacentral:rRNA from 1 species